rnacentral:rRNA from 1 species
UACGUAGGUGGCAAGCGUUGUCCGGAUUUACUGGGCGUAAAGAGCGCGCAGGCGGUCGGAUCAGUCGAAUGUGAAAGCCCCCGGCUCAACUGGGGAGGGUCAUUCGAUACUGUCCGACUCGAAGGCAGGAGAGGGAAGCGGAAUUCCCGGUGUAGUGGUGAAAUGCGUAGAUAUCAGGAGGAACACCCAUGGCGAAGGCAGGUUACUGGGCAUUAUCUGACGCUGAGGCGCGAAAGCGUGGGUAGCAAACAGG